CCGUUGGUCAAGCGGUUAAGACACCGCCCUUUCACGGCGGUAACACGGGUUCGAAUCCCGUACGG
rnacentral:tRNA from 2 species